CAGCCGCCGCGGGAAUACGUAGGUGGCAAGCGUUGUCCGGAAUUACUGGGCGUAAAGCGGGCGCAGACGGUUACUUAAGCAGGAUGUGAAAUCCCCGGGCUCAACCUGGGAAUUGCGUUCUGAACUGGGUGGCUAGAGUGUGUCAGAGGGGGGUAGAAUUCCACGUGUAGCAGUGAAAUGCGUAGAGAUGUGGAGGAAUACCGAUGGCGAAGGCAGCCCCCUGGGAUAGCACUGACGUUCAUGCCCGAAAGCGUGGGUAGCAAACAGGAUUAGAUACCCGCGUAGUCCCUGUCUCUUAUAA
rnacentral:rRNA from 1 species